CCUACGGGUGGCAGCAGUGAGGAAUAUUGGUCAAUGGACGCAAGUCUGAACCAGCCAUGCCGCGUGAAGGACGACGGCCCUAUGGGGUGUAAACUUCUUUUAUACGGGGGUAAAAGCAGAAACGCGUGUCUGUCUGAAUGUACGUUAUGAAUAAGGAUCGGCUAACUCCGUGCCAGCAGCCGCGGUAAUACGGAGGAUCCAAGCGUUAUCCGGAUUUAUUGGGUUUAAAGGGGGCGUAGCCGGGCGGUUAAGUUAGGGGUGAAAGCCCGCGGCUCAACUUGGGAAUUGCAUUUGAUACUGGCAGGCUAGAGUGCAGUUGAGGUGAGCGGAAUGUGUGGUGUAGCGGUGAAAUGCUUAGAUAUCACACAGAACACCGAUUGCGAAGGCAGCUUACCAAGCUGCUACUGACGUUGAGGCACGAAAGCGUGGGGAUCAAACAGGAUUAGAUACCCCAGUAGUC
rnacentral:rRNA from 1 species